rnacentral:rRNA from 1 species
GAUGAACGCUAGCGGCAGGCCUAAUACAUGCAAGUCGGACGGGAUUCAGGAGCUUGCUUCUGAUGAGAGUGGCGCACGGGUGCGUAACACGUAUGUAACCUACCUUUAUCAGGGGGAUAGCCUCUCGAAAGAGAGAUUAAGCCCGCAUAAAAUCACAGCACAGCAUUGUGUAAUGAUCAAAUAUUUAUAGGAUAAAGAUGGGCAUGCGGAACAUUAGCUAGAUGGCGGGGUAACGGCCCACCAUGGCGACGAUGUUUAGGGGAUCUGAGAGGAUGGCCCCCCACACUGGUACUGAGACACGGACCAGACUCCUACGGGAGGCAGCAGUAAGGAAUAUUGAUCAAUGGGCGGAAGCCUGAACCAGCCAUGCCGCGUGCAGGAAGACGGCCCUACGGGUUGUAAACUGCUUUUAUACGGGAAUAAACCCAGAUACGUGUAUCUGGCUGAAUGUACUGUAAGAAUAAGGAUCGGCUAACCCCGUG